AUGGCCUCAGAAGCAGCCAGAAGAGGUGGUGCCAGUGUGAAAUGUCCCUGGCUACUCUGGGUUUAGCUACACACACCCUUUUAAAAUAGGUUAUAUAGUCUUGCCUUGGAAGUGAACGCUGAAAGUAGCUCGCUGUGAUUCCAGACCUUGGGACUCUAUAACCUAGGACCUGGCUCAGCACAACUCCCAGAAAAAAAUAAUGGGAGUUCCUUAGGCCCCUCUGGGAACCCAGUCCCACCCCUGAUGCAGGCCGUUCUUCCUGAGACUCAGCAGAGAGAAACCAAACCAAUCUCGGGGCCAGAUCCUUUCCCAGGUGGGGACAGCUCCCCAGCUCUUUCCCCCACCUCAGCACAGUUUGCAAAGUACUUUGCUGGCUAUCCACAACCCUCCGGAAGGGCUACUGCUUUAAGAGUGAAGAGAGUAACAACCCGGGAGAUAGACUUCUGGAAAGAAAAAGAAGGGACAGAUGGAUGGGAUGUGGCAGCUACAAGGGUCGGGGGCCACCACCUCUCAAAUCUUGACUGCUGGGAGGAGCAGAAGACCAGAGAACGUCUGAGGAGAGCCAGGCAGAUGGCUCAGCCAGUAAAAGCACUUGCCGCACAAGCCAGAAGACCUAAGUUCAAGCCCCAGAACCCACAUAAGAAGCAACUCUGUAAUCCCAGCAAGCCUGCGGUAAGGUCGAAGGCAGAGACAGGGCCAGAAGCUCCCAGGUAGUCUGGGGUAUGCUAUACAGCGCAGAAAGAGAGACCUCACCUCCAAAAAGACAGACAGUAGGAACUGACUCCC